CCUACGGGGUGCAGCAGUGGGGAAUUUUGGACAAUGGGGGAAACCCUGAUCCAGCCAUCCCGCGUGUAUGAUGAAGGCCUUCGGGUUGUAAAGUACUUUUGGCAGAGAAGAAAAGGUAUCCCCUAAUACGGGAUACUGCUGACGGUAUCUGCAGAAUAAGCACCGGCUAACUACGUGCCAGCAGCCGCGGUAAUACGUAGGGUGCAAGCGUUAAUCGGAAUUACUGGGCGUAAAGCGUGUGUAGGCGGUUCGGAAAGAAAGAUGUGAAAUCCCAGGGCUCAACCUUGGAACUGCAUUUUUAACUGCCGAGCUAGAGUAUGUCAGAGGGGGGUAGAAUUCCACGUGUAGCAGUGAAAUGCGUAGAUAUGUGGAGGAAUACCGAUGGCGAAGGCAGCCCCCUGGGAUAAUACUGACGCUCAGACACGAAAGCGUGGGGAGCAAACAGGAUUAGAUACCCCAGUAGUC
rnacentral:rRNA from 1 species